rnacentral:rRNA from 1 species
CCAAUAGCGUAUAUUAAAGUUGUUGCAGUUAAAAGCUCGUAGUUGAAUUUCGGGAUCAAUGUUUCGGUCAUGCCGUUGGUAUGUACUGAUAUUAUUGAUUUCUCACCUUCUAAAGAACCGUAAUGCCAUUAAUUUGGUGUCACGGGGAAUUAGGACUGUUACCUUGAAAAAUUAGAGUGUUUAAAGCAGGCUCACGCUUGAAUACAUUAGCAUGGAAUAAUGAAAUAGGACAUCCGAUUCUAUUUUGUUGGUUUCUAGGAUCGAUGUAAUGAUUAAUAGGGAUAGUUGGGGGCAUUAGUAUUCAAUUGUCAGAGGUGAAAUUCUUGGAUUUAUUGAAGACUAACUACUGCGAAAGCAUUUGCCAAGGAUGUUUUCAUUAAUCAAGAACGAAAGUUAGGGGAUCGAAGACGAUCAGAUACCGUCGUAGUCUUAACCAUAAACUAUGCCGACUAGGGAUCGGAUGAUGUUAAUUUUUAAUGACUCAUUCGGCGCCUUACGGGAAA